AGCGAACGCUGGCGGCAGGCCUAACACAUGCAAGUCGAACGGCAGCACAGUAAGAGCUUGCUCUUACGGGUGGCGAGUGGCGGACGGGUGACGAAUACAUCGGAAUCUACUUUUUGGGGGGGGAUAACGUAGGGAAACUUACGCUAAUACCGCAUACGACCUACGGGUGAAAGCAGGGGAUCUUAGGACCUUGCGCGAUUGAAUGAGCCGAUGUCGGAUUAGCUAGUUGGCGGGGUAAAGGCCCACCAAGGCGACGAUCCGUAGCCGGUCUGAGAGGAUGAUCAGCCACACUGGAACUGAGACACGGUCCAGACUCCUACGGGAGGCAGCAGUGGGGAAUAUUGGGCAAUGGGCGCAAGCCUGACCCAGCCAUACCGCGUGGGUGAAGAAGGCCUUCGGGUUGUAAAGCCCUUUUGUUGGGAAAGAAAAGCAGCAGGUUAAUACCCCGCUGUUCUGACGGUACCCAAAGAAUAAGCACCGGCUAACUUCGUG
rnacentral:rRNA from 1 species